GUCACUUUGCCGGAGUGGUUAACGGGAUCGCCUGCUACUUACAGUGGCCUUCAGCGGUUGGGCUUUGCCCGCGUGUGUUCGAAUCGCACAGGUGACG